rnacentral:rRNA from 1 species
GACGAACGCUGGCGGCGUGCUUAACACAUGCAAGUCGAACGGAAAGGCCCUGCUUUUGUGGGGUGCUCGAGUGGCGAACGGGUGAGUAACACGUGAGUAACCUGCCCUUGACUGUGGGAUAACUUCAGGAAACUGGGGCUAAUACCGGAUAGGAGCUCCUGCUGCAUGGUGGGGGUUGGAAAGUUUCGGCGGUUGGGGAUGGACUCGCGGCUUAUCAGCUUGUUGGUUGGGUAGUUGCUUACCAAGGCUUCGACGGGUAGCCGGCCUGAGAGGGGGGACGGCGACAAUGGGACUGAGAUACGGCCCAGACGGCUACGGGAGGCAGCAGUGGGGAAUAUUGCACAAUGAGCGGGAGCGUGAUGCAGAGACGCCGCGUGCGGGAUGACGGCCUUCGGGUUGUAAACCGCUUUAGCCUGUGACGAAGCGUGAGUGACGGUAAUGGGUAAAGAAGCACCGGCUAACUACGUG